AUUUUCAUUAGGAUGAAAUUAUCAUUAAGGACAGCCAAGGAUGUCUUGCCUGCUCUUAUUUAGGUGGAGAGAGCACUUGUCUGGGUAAUUUAUUGAAGUCCCUCAUCAUUACAAUAGCAUGCCUCUGAUUCAGGCUUCAGUUCUGUUUUAUGAAUUCCUCAUCAAUUUUUGCUU
rnacentral:miRNA from 1 species